rnacentral:rRNA from 1 species
UUAGCAAUAAGGGAGUGGCGGACGGGUGAGUAACACGUGGGUCAUCUACCCUUAGGUGAGGAAUACCGGCGAGAAAUCGCCGACAAUACCGCAUAUGCUCGUAAGAGCAAAGCCCGCAAGGGCGCCUGAGGAUGAGCCUGCGCUCGAUUAGUUGGUUGGUGGGGUAAUGGCCUACCAAGACUGCGAUCGAUAGCUGGUCUGAGAGGACGAUCAGCCACACUGGGAUUGAGAACGGCCCAGACUCCUACGGGGGGCAGCAGUGAGGAAUUUUCGUCAAUGGGGGCAACCCUGAACGAGCAACGCCGCGUGCAGGAAGAAGGUUUUCGGA